CAAAGGGUAAGAAAAUUUAAGUGUUUAUUUUGGAAUAUUCCUGCGUAUGUAACUGGUUUACUUAUUUUAUAUAAAGUAGUUUAUCAAAUUAAUCAGCAGAAAGAUGUAUGGAACAUCCCACCCCUGGCACCCCACCAAGUGUGGAGUUGUAUUUAUGGCCAGAGAAGAGGAAGGGAUAACACAAAACCAAGCUUGGUCACACACAGUUGGCAUUUGCCUGACGUGGAUAAGUUCUAAUCAGCCGGCAACCUGUGAUUAGCGAGACUCAGUUGCUUGGUUAUUUUAAUUCAGUUCAGUAUUUUUUCUUAUUUUCCUGUGAUAUCGUUGUUGAUCCAUUGAUUACUUAGAAGUAUAUUUAAUUUCUAAACAUUUUAAGGACUUUCUUUCCAAGUAUCUAUUUUAGAUUUCCAGGAAUCACUAAAUCAAGUGAAGACUGUACAGUUACCAGGAAAGUGAGUUUAUUUCACUGUCGUCAGAGACCAUAUGUGUGAUAGUUAAUCUUGAUUGGCAGCUUGGAAUGAGAGGCCCAGCAAUCCAGUAAAGCACACUUCUGGGUGUGUCAGAGAGGGCUUACGGAGAUGACUGACAUGUGGGCCGGCCAACUGGGAGGGCCACCCGCACUGUCCGACAGACCGGGCCUGUGGAGCCGGUGGAGGAGCCCCAGCUUGGUGAGCUUGGUUCUUCUCGGGUGGGUGGGCUGCUGCCAUGCCGUGGCGUCAGCCUCCGCUUCAGCCCUCAUCCUGGGCUCUGGGUGGCUCUCCAGGACCACCAGCCGGGGCUGCAGCACUGGAACCGCUUGCCCUGAGGCUUCCUCUUUCUUGGUUGGAGCAGCUGUUGGUUUCCCUGGCUCCAGGUGCAGACAACCACCGUGGGACUGCCCAGCCUCUGCUUGUGUGAGCCAAUGCAAUAAGCAGGACGUGUAACAUAGAUAGGUGCAGUGCAGAGACAAGCCUAUUCUAAUGGCUGUGGUCGUUUACAGAUGGGACUGAUAUACUGACUCCAUCCUUUUAUAUUCACUGGGCCUUGUUUAUGGCCAGCACCUUGGUCUGUCCUGAUGAACGCCCCUGUGGACUUUGAAAGGAUGUGUGCUCCACCAUUGGGUGGAGUGCUUGGUGGGUACCAGCUCAGUCAAGCAGAUUGAUGGAGGUACUCGUGCUCCACCUCACUGCCGUCAGUUCUUGAGCAAAUGUCGAUUAUGUGUUCUCACUGUCCCUCUUCCAUCUGUUCGGUUUUAUCUUCGUGCAGUACCACCUGCCAGUAGCACUGCUCUGAAGACCAAGCCUUCAACAACACGAAUCCUCCUGUCUCAGCCUCCUGAGGCACUGUGAUCCCGGGCCAGCCUGAGCAACUUAGCAAGGUCCUGUCUCAGUACAAAGGGCUGGGGAUGUGGCUCAGUGGGAAAGCCCUCCUGGGUUCAAUCCCCUGCCCCCACCAAAUGAUCCAAACUAGCAGUAGCCAAACAUUUUUAAAAUGGGGUCGGACUUGCACUUCCAACCUGCCUGUCCCUUUGUAUCUAGAGUGGCUCUCUUGUAGACAGCACAUAGUUAGCCCUGCUCUAAAAAAACUCCCAUUAAGUUGUUCCUAGGCUGUUUGUCUCCUAGGUCUUACCCCAUUUGUUCCUUUCCCUGCCUUUUUUUGGAUUAAUAGAGAUUUUCUUUUCUUCUAGGUUUUCCUUAUUAGCUUAUUACACCUCUGCUUUACUAGUGCUGGCUCUCGGGUCUGUCUCCAAUACGCAUCUGUAACAUACCACCAUCUACCUUGAGUAAUGCAGCAUGGCUUAAGAGCCUCCCGCUUGGUGUCCCAUGAGACCACCACACACUUUAUUUCUACGUGUUGUGAAUUCCACAAUACAUUGUUAUUUUGGAUUCACACACUUAUCUUUUGGAAAGAUUAAAAAAUAAGAAAAAAGUAUGAUAUUUUCCCACAUAUUUACCAUUUUCUGUGGUUGCCUCGAAUAGAUCCAAAGAUGCCCCUUUAUUCUGCCUACAGAUAACCACCUUUAAUAAUUUUUGAAUUUAGUUCUGAUAGUGUUGGAUUUUCUCUGCUUUUGUUUGUCUGAAAAAACGACUUGCCUUUACUUUGAAAGAUUUUUUGGUUGGACUUAAAAUUUUAGGUGAUAGUUUUAAAAUUUUUUUCUAAAGAAAAUGCUUUGAUUUUUGAAUUUAACUUUAUUUUUUUUCAAAGCAAUUUUAGGUUUUCAGCGAAAAUCAGCAGAAGAUGGAGAUUUCCCAUACAUCCUCUGCACCCUUACAGGCAGACACCACCAGUUGCCACCAUCCCCGCCCCAGUGUCGCACCUAUGCCGAAGAGCCUGCUCCAACCCAGCACUGUCCCUCAGUCUGGGGUCUACAUGAGAGCCACUCUUAGUGUUUUGGUUCUGUGGACAGAGUCACAGUGACAUGUGCCUGCCCUCACAGUGGCAUGCAGGUCGUUUUUCUCCCCUGCCCCUGUGCUCUGCCUCGUCACCCCUCCCUGGCACCACUGAUCUUUUACUGCGUCCAGGGUUCUGCGUUUCCAGAAAGUCCUUGGUUCGAUGCCUCAUAGCGCACAGCCUUCUCAGACUGGUGCCUUCCACGUGGCGCCCUCUCCCCAGGGUUCCAGACCCACUGAAGUGCUGAGGAACUUCCACUGUGUGCAUGUGCCACAGGGCUCACGUGUCUGCUAGCGGACACUCUGUUACUUCCAGGUGGCCGCAGUUAUGAACCCCUGUGAGGAGUCUUUGCGUGGAUGUGACAUUUCAGCUCCUUUGAGAAGAUACCACGGGAUGCGCUGUGGAUUUCACUGCGAGAGUUUGUUUAGUUUUGUAGGAAUCUGCCCAGCUUUCUUCCAAGGUGGCUGAGCCAUCCUGCACCCCCACCAGCAAUGACUGGGAGCCAGAGUUGCUCCACAUCCUUGCUGGCCUUUGGAGGGAUCAGAGUUCUGGAUUUUGGCCACCUGAACAGGUGUUAAAGUGCCAUCUCAUUUUAGGCUGCACUUCCCUGACAACAUGAUGUGUAACAUCUCUUCCUCUGCUUAUUUGCCAUCUGCAUCUCUUCUUUGGUGAGUGACAAAGGCAUUACAAGAAAACCAUAGACCAAUAUGUCUGGUGAACAUAAAUGCAAAAACCCUCUACAAAAUAUUAGUAUAUUGAAUCUAAAGAAAAAAGAAUUAUACUCCAUGACUAAGUGGGAUUUAUUCCAGGUGCGCAAGGCCGGUUCAACAUUUGGAAAUCAAUUAAUAUAAUCCAUCACACAUUAGUAGGCUAAAGAAAAACGUCACAUGAUCAUGAUGGUGUAGAUAGGUACAGGAAAAGCAUUUGACAAAAUCCAACACUCAUGACAAAACUCUCAGUAAACUAGGAAUACAGGGAAACUUGUUAAAAUCAGUAAAGAUUAUUUAAAAAAAAGCUAACAUCAUACUUAAUAGUGAGAAUGUUAUGUUUGGGUACAAAAUGAAACCAGCUAAGGAGCUAUGUUAUGGGAAGGAUGGAAAUCACACAAAGAAGCAAACCCCGGGCUGGUGCACCAAAUCCUUGAGUCCAACAACGGAACCAGCCCUUCAAGAUUAAAGGAGGCCCUCAUUAUACAAAAUACAUGUGUGAAUAUGUGAAUUUGGUGUCAACAUACCUUAUAUAUAAUCAGAGAUAUGAUAAAUUAAGGUAUAAUGGUGUAUUAAGAAUUGUAAUG
rnacentral:lncRNA from 1 species